UAAUUGGGCGUUAAGUUGCAGGGUAUAGACCCGAAACCCGGUGAUCUAGCCAUGGGCAGGUUGAAGGUUGGGUAACACUAACUGGAGGACCGAACCGACUAAUGUUGAAAAAUUAGCGGAUGACCUGUGGCUGGGGGUGAAAGGCCAAUCAAACCGGGAGAUAGCUGGUUCUCCCCGAAAGCUAUUUAGGUAGCGCCUCGUGAAUUCAUCUCCGGGGGUAGAGCACUGUUUCGGCUAGGGGGCCAUCCCGGCUUACCAACCCGAUGCAAACUGCGAAUACCGGAGAAUGUUAUCACGGGAGACACACGGCGGGUGCUAACGUCCGUCGUGAAGAGGGAAACAACCCAGACCGCCAGCUAAGGUCCCAAAGUCAUGGUUAAGUGGGAAACGAUGUGGGAAGGCCCAGACAGCCAGGAUGUUGGCUUAGAAGCAGCCAUCAUUUAAAGAAAGCGUAAUAGCUCACUGGUCGAGUCGGCCUGCGCGGAAGAUGUAACGGGGCUAAACCAUGCACCGAAGCUGCGGCAGCGAACGUAUCACUUAAAGCGAUUCAGCGGGUUACGAUUGACGGAGCGAAGCGACGUCAAAGCGUAUACAAAGUCGAGUCGGUUUAAGGAUACGUUCGUUGGGUAGGGGAGCGUUCUGUAAGCCUGUGAAGGUGUGUCGUGAGGCAUGCUGGAGGUAUCAGAAGUGCGAAUGCUGACAUAAGUAACGAUAAAGCGGGUGAAAAGCCCGCUCGCCGGAAGACCAAGGGUUCCUGUCCAACGUUAAUCGGGGCAGGGUGAGUCGACCCCUAAGGCGAGGCCGAAAGGCGUAGUCGAUGGGAAACGGGUUAAUAUUCCCGUACUUGGUGUUACUGCGAAGGGGGGACGGAGAAGGCUAUGUUGGCCGGGCGACGGUU
rnacentral:rRNA from 1 species